GCCUCGGUGAUGUAGUGGUGGAGCACGCGUUCCUCGAUUGGGCGAAACGCGGGUUCGAUUCUUGGCUGAGGCC